rnacentral:rRNA from 1 species
AGGACGAACGCUGGCGGCGUGCUUAACACAUGCAAGUCGAGCGGGGCCCCUCCUUCGGGAGGGUGUCCUAGCGGCGAACGGGUGAGUAACACGUGGGCAACCUGCCCUCAGCUCUGGGAUAACCCCCGGGAAACCGGGGCUAAUACCGGAUACGACCUCCACGGGCAUCUGCGGAGGUGGAAAGGUUUUCCGGCUGAGGAUGGGCCCGCGGCCUAUCAGCUAGUUGGUGGGGUGAUGGCCCACCAAGGCGACGACGGGUA